rnacentral:rRNA from 1 species
UGGGGAAUUUUGGACAAUGGGCGCAAGCCUGAUCCAGCCAUGCCGCGUGCGGGAAGAAGGCCUUCGGGUUGUAAACCGCUUUUGUCAGGGAAGAAAUCUUCUGGGUUAAUACCUCGGGAGGAUGACGGUACCUGAAGAAUAAGCGCCGGCUAACUGCGUGCCAGCAGCCGCGGUAAUACGUAGGGUGCAAGCGUUAAUCGGAAUUACUGGGCGUAAAGCGUGCGCAGGCGGUUGUGCAAGACAGAUGUGAAAUCCCCGGGCUCAACCUGGGAACUGCAUUUGUGACUGCAUGGCUAGAGUGCGGCAGAGGGGGAUGGAAUUCCGCGUGUAGCAGUGAAAUGCGUAGAUAUGCGGAGGAACACCGAUGGCGAAGGCAAUCCCCUGGGUCUGCACUGACGCUCAUGCACGAAAGCGUGGGGAGCAAACAGGAUUAGAUACCCUGGUAGUCCACGCCCUAAACGAUGUCAACUGGUUGUUGGGAAGGUUCCUUCUCAGUAACGUAGCUAACGCGUGAAGUUGACCGCCUGGGGAGUACGGCCGCAAGGUUG